rnacentral:rRNA from 1 species
AGUGAACGCUGGCGGUAGGCCUAACACAUGCAAGUCGAACGGCAGCACAGUAAGAGCUUGCUCUUACGGGUGGCGAGUGGCGGACGGGUGAGGAAUACAUCGGAAUCUACUUUUUCGUGGGGGAUAACGUAGGGGAACUUACGCUAAUACCGCAUACGACCUACGGGUGAAAGCAGGGGAUCUUCGGACCUUGCGCGAUUGAAUGAGCCGAUGUCGGAUUAGCUAGUUGGCGGGGUAAAGGCCCACCAAGGCGACGAUCCGUAGCUGGUCUGAGAGGAUGAUCAGCCACACUGGAACUGAGACACGGUCCAGACUCCUACGGGAGGCAGCAGUGGGGAAUAUUGGACAAUGGGCGCAAGCCUGAUCCAGCCAUACCGCGUGGGUGAAGAAGGACUUCGGGUUGUAAAGCCCUUUUGUUGGGAAAGAAAAGCAGCAGGUUAAUACCCCGCUGUUCUGACGGUACCCAAAGAAUAAGCACCGGCUAACUUCGUG